ACCAGAAGACCACAGAAGAUGAA
rnacentral:piRNA from 1 species